UAUGACCAUAUCAUGUUGAAACACCAGUUCUCAUAGAAUCACUGAAGUUAAGCAAUGGCAAGCCUGGUCAGUACCUAGAUGGAUGACCAUUUGGGAACAUCAGGUACUGUAA